ACGGAAGGCAGCAGUGGGGAAUAUUGCACAAUGGGCGCAAGCCUGAUGCAGCGAUGCCGCGUGAGGGAAGAAGGUUUUCGGAUUGUAAACCUCUGUCAUCGGGGACGAUAAUGACUGUACCCGAGAAGGAAGCUCCGGCUAACUACGUGCCAGCAGCCGCGGUAAUACGUAGGGAGCGAGCGUUAUCCGGAAUUACUGGGUGUAAGGGAGUGUAGGCGGGACUGUAAGUCAGAUGUGAAAUAUGCCGGCUCAACUGGCAGACUGCAUUUGAAACUGCGGUUCUUGAGUGAAGUAGAGGUAAGCGGAAUUCCUAGUGUAGCGGUGAAAUGCGUAGAUAUUAGGAGGAACACCAGUGGCGAAGGCGGCUUACUGGACGAUAACUGACGUUGAGGCUCGAAAGCGUGGGGAGCAAACAGGAUUAGAUACCCUGGUA
rnacentral:rRNA from 1 species